CGCGGUGAGUGGUGGGAGAGGAUAUAUACUGCUGUGUGCUCGACCAGCGGGUGAGAGCAUGUCGGGUAAAUGCCAGUCGCGGAAAGUUCCUAAUAUGGUUGUAAAUUCUCCCUCGGCUGGUACUGCUCUCCAGCCCGGAUGUUGAUUGGGCAGUCUUCAACUGCCUCCCAACAUGGUAGCGAGGUCCUGAGCUGACAUGCAGUGAGGAACGUGGAAAGCUCCCUGAAUUGGCACAUGGUAUGCCUCCCUUUCAAACCAGCAGCUGGCACAAAUGUUCCA